UACGUAGGGUGCAAGCGUUUAAUCGGAAUUACUGGGCGUAAAGCGUGCGCAGGCGGCUUUGCAAGACGGAUGUGAAAUCCCCGGGCUUAACCUGGGAACUGCAUUUGUGACUGCAUGGCUGGAGUGCGGCAGAGGGGGGUAGAAUUCCACGUGUAGCAGUGAAAUGCGUAGAGAUGUGGAGGAAUACCGAUGGCGAAGGCAGCCCCCUGGGAUAACACUGACGCUCAUGCACGAAAGCGUGGGGAGCAAACAGG
rnacentral:rRNA from 1 species